rnacentral:lncRNA from 1 species
AGGUUCUCAAUUUCUUGAAUUUUUCCUUUGAUUUAGAGAAGUAAGUAUAAUAAUGUGAAAUUAUCUCCUUUAGGGUUUAUGGAACCUAUCUUUAAAACUUUGAAGUUAGCAAGAAUUAGGUGUUAUUGAUGUGUAUUCAAGGUUUUAAAUAAGAAUAUAGCAAGGAAAUGUUUAUUUGAAAAUUGGAUUUGAAGAAAGAGAAUUUCGGAAAUGGGUUGUGAGAUAAAAGAUAUAUUCUUUGAAUUUCUUGUGAUUAUCUGAUGUUAAAUACUUAAAUUAAGGAUUUGAGAUUGGAAUUAUCCAUUUUUAAAAGUAAUUUUCGAGCUAUUAUAGUAUAGGCGUUAAUUCUGAAAUUCUACCAAGAAAAGUGCUAUUUUUGUCAAUGGUUUCGAUGCCAGAUUUCAAUAUAUAGAAAUUGGUACUAGAUUUCUAUAUUCCGGAGUUUUAGUGCUAUUUUUGUCAAACUUGGAUUUCCAAAUUUUUAAAGGCUUGAAUGAAUUUAUAUGACAAUAUUGAAGUCUAUGUAUUGGACUAACUAUGUAUAGGGGUUGUAUAUGUAUAAGGUAGUGAUUUUAAGGAAGUGUGAGUGAUGUAAUGAAUUUGAUAAUGUAUGAUAAUUACUUGAUAAAUCAUUAAAGAGAAGAAAAGUUGGGGAAUUGGAGAUAUAAGAGUAAGUAUAGAAAUUGAGAAGUUAAGUGGUGGAUUUGUAUUGAUUUAAUUGUUUGGUUUUAAUUCAAGAAAUUACACAGUCAUUUCAGGUAAGUACAUGGAAGCUUGAAAAGAC